GGCACUUUGGCGGAGUGGUUAACGCGAUGCCCUGCUAAGGCAUUUCCUUCGGGAGCGUGUGUUCGAAUCACACAGGUGUCG